rnacentral:rRNA from 1 species
GCAUUGCCGGGUAGCUAAGUGCGGAAGAGAUAAGUGCUGAAAGCAUCUAAGCACGAAACUUGCCAAGAGAUGAGUUCUCCCAGAUUUAAAAUCUGUAAGGGUUGUUUAAGACUAAGACGUAGAUAGGCAUGGUGUGUAAGCGGUGCGAGCCGUUGAGCUAACAUGUACUAAUUGCCCGAGAGGCUUAACUAUACAACGCUCAAGGGUUUUG